UGGGGAAUCUUGGACAAUGGGGGCAACCCUGAUCCAGCGACGCCGCGUGGGUGGUAAGGCCUUCGGGUUGUAAAGCCCUUUCAGCGGGGAAGAUGAUGACAUUACCCGCAGAGGAAGCGCCGGCUAACUCCGUGCCAGCAGCCGCGGUAAGACGGAGGGCGCUAGCGUUGUUCGGAAUCACUGGGCGUAAAGGGCGCGUAGGCGGCCGUCUAAGUCGAGGGUGAAAGCCCGGGGCUCAACCCCGGAACGGCCUUCGAGACUGGGCGGCUCGAGACCGGAAGAGGAGGGUGGAAUACCCAGUGUAGAGGUGAAAUUCGUAGAUAUUGGGUGGAACACCAGUGGCGAAAGCGGCUCUCUGGUCCGGAUCUGACGCUGAGGGACGAAAGCUAGGGGAGCGAAAGGGAUUAGAUACCCCGGUAGUCC
rnacentral:rRNA from 1 species